rnacentral:rRNA from 1 species
CCUACGUGAGGCUGCAGUAGGGAAUAUUGCACAAUGGGGGAAACCCUGAAGCAGCAACGCCGCGUGGAGGAUGAAGGGUCUCGGAUUGUAAACUCCUUUUGUUAGAGAAGAAAAUGACAGACUCUAACGAAUAAGCACAAGCUAACUCCGAGCCAGCAGCAGCGGUAAUACGGAGGGUGCAAGCGUUACUCGGAAUCACAAGGAGUAAAGAGAGCGUGGGCGGGAUAGCAAGUCAGAUGUGAAAUCCUAGGGCUUAACCAUAGAACUGCAUUUGAAACUGUUAUUCUAGAGUAUUGGAGAGGGAAGUGGAAUUCUUGGUGUAGGAGUAAAAUCCGUAGAGAUCGAGAGGAAUACUCAUGGCGAAGGCGACCUGCUAGAACAUAACUGACGCUGAUGCACGAAAGCGUGGGGAGCGAACGGGAUUAGAUACCCGUGUAGUC